rnacentral:tRNA from 1 species
CGGGGCGUAGCUCAGUUGGUAGAGCGCCACUGUGCACCGGGGAGGCCGCUGGUUCAAGCUUGUCGUGAGCACACGAAGGAUCCAGUCGCUCCGACCA